UACGUAGGUGGCAAGCGUUGUCCGGAUUUACUGGGCGUAAAGGGCGUGCAGGCGGUUUGUUAAGUGCAGGGUGAAAGCUCCCGGCUCAACUGGGAGAGGUCCUUGCAUACUGGCGAACUCGAGGGAGGCAGAGGAAAGUGGAAUUCCCGGUGUAGUGGUGAUAUGCGUAGAUAUCGGGAGGAACACCUGUGGCGAAGGCGGCUUUCUGGGCCUUACCUGACGCUGAGACGCGAAAGCAUGGGGAGCGAACCGG
rnacentral:rRNA from 1 species